rnacentral:rRNA from 1 species
GAUGAACGCUGGCGGCGUGCCUAACACAUGCAAGUCGAGCGAUUCUCUUCAGAGAAGAGCGGCGGACGGGUGAGUAACGCGUGGGUAACCUGCCCUGUACACACGGAUAACAUACCGAAAGGUAUGCUAAUACGAGAUAAUAUGCUUUUAUCGCAUGGUAGAAGUAUCAAAGCUUUUGCGGUACAGGAUGGACCCGCGUCUGAUUAGCUAGUUGGUAAGGUAACGGCUUACCAAGGCGACGAUCAGUAGCCGACCUGAGAGGGUGAUCGGCCACAUUGGAACUGAGACACGGUCCAAACUCCUACGGGAGGCAGCAGUGGGGAAUAUUGCACAAUGGGCGAAAGCCUGAUGCAGCAACGCCGCGUGAGCGAUGAAGGCCUUCGGGUCGUAAAACUCUGUCCUCAAGGAAGAUAAUGACGGUACUUGAGGAGGAAGCCCCGGCUAACUACGUGCCAGCCGCCGCCGUAA